CGGGUGAGUAACACGUGAAGAACCUGCCUGGAAGUGGGGGACAACACUCCUAACGGGGUGCUAAUACCGCAUGUGCAUGAAUUACCGCAUGGUUUUAUAUGUAAAGGUGGCCUCUACUUGUAAGCUACCGCUUCCAGAUGGCUUUGCGUCCCAUUAGCUUGUUGGUGGGGUAAUGGCCUACCAAGGCGACGAUGGGUAGCUGGUCUGAGAGGAUGGUCAGCCACACUGGGACUGAGAUACGGCCCAGACUCCUACGGGAGGCAGCAGUCGAGAGGCUUCCGCAAUGGGGGAAACCCUGACGGAGCGACGCCGCGUGAGGGAUGAAGGGUUUCGGCUCGUAAACCUCUUUCAGGUGGGAAGAAAGGUCUGAGGGUGAAUAAUCCUCAGGCUAUGACGGUACCACCAGAAGAAGCUCCGGCUAACUCCGUGCCAGCAGCCGCGGUAAUACGGGGGGAGCAAGCGUUGUUCGGAUUCAUUGGGCGUAAAGGGCGCGUAGGCGGUUUGGCAAGUCUGACGUGAAAUGUACCGGUUCAACCGGGGCGCUGUGUCAGAAACUGCCUUACUUGAGGUCGAGGGAGGAGAGUGGAAUUCCUGGUGUAGCGGUGAAAUGCGUAGAUAUCAGGAGGAACACCCGUGGCGAAGGCGACUCUCUAUCUCGAUUCUGACGCUGAGGCGCGAAAGCUAGGGGAGCAAACGGGAUUAGAUACCCCGGUAGUCCUAGCCGUAAACGAUGGGCACUAGGUGUGGGAGGUAUCGACCCCUUCCGUGCCGCAGCUAACGCAUUAAGUGCCCCGCCAGGGGAGUACGGUCGCAAGAUUGAAACUCAAAGGAAUUGACGGGGGCCCGCACAAGCGGUGGAGCAUGUGGUUUAAUUCGACGCAACGCGAAGAACCCUACCGGGGCUUGAACUGCAGAGUGCAGCCGUAGAAAUACGGUUUACCCUUCGGGGUGAACUGUGCGCUGACGAGUGGCGGACGGGUGAGUAAUACAUAGGAAUCUACCCAGUAGUGGGGGAUAACUUGGAGAAAUCCAUGCUAAUACCGCAUAUGUCCUACGGGGCAAAGCAGGGGACCCUCGGGCCUUGCGCUAUUGGAUGAGCCUAUGUCGGAUUAGCUAGUUG
rnacentral:rRNA from 1 species